UCGACGUUGCUACGAGAUCAGAUCUGCAUCAACUCUCCGUCACACCGGCAGGUCCCCGGCCUUGCCGAACUGUCCUACGCGACAGGCUUCGUUCCCGUUUGUCGAACCAGAAAUCACGAUCUAAUGUUGGUAGAAUCUCGUAAUCGCUCCACCAUGUCCGAUGGGGCUCCACUCGAUCUCGCCCGUGCACCUGAGUUCGUGCCCGCCUUGGAGUCACGAGAAUCCUGCGCAUCCUAUGGUUCUAGAGUGCGAGGUGAAUGGGGGCGGCUCAUGUGGUCAAAGUCGUGAUCCAUUCAUGUCGUGGGUGUGUACGUGCGUACAAGCCUGAGAAAGCUGAGGUAGUUAGGAUUUUUGUUAUGAAAAAAAACUUGCAUGCCCACAUGCACGUGACAUGCGCUAUCUGGGCUGGUCGCCUCCCACUUCAUACCAGUUCUUUGACCAAGUCGUAACCGCUUAUUCCUCUGGCGUUGGAAAACUACGGCUCCUGGUUUUUUUGUUUUUUUUUUGGCGCAUGCGAGAAUCCACUCGCGGUAGACACCCGUGAAUGAUGCCACAAGUCAGCAUGUGCAAGUCUGUUGUGGCCACACUCGCCUUCCACACCUAGUGGCGCAUGAGUGCAUACGGCUAGAAAAAGAUUACCAUUUUACCUACUAAUUCUCGUUGAAUUAAGUAGAUCUAAUUUUAAUUUACACGCAUCCUCCAUAUGAUUUAUUCUAUUUAUUUUAUGUUGCAAAUAAUAAAUAGAAUGAAGCAUGUUUUAUGUUGCA